rnacentral:rRNA from 1 species
ACACGUAAGGAAUCUGCCUCCAAGUCCGGAAUACGCUGGCGACGCNGGAAUUAUGCCGGAUGUGGUUGCAUGGUCGCAUGGCUAUGCAACUAAAGGUGACCUCUUCGUUUGAAAGUUACCGUUUGGAGAUGACCUUGCGGCCCAUUAGCUUGUUGGCGGGGUAACGGCCCACCAAUGCUGCGAUGGGUAGCCGGCCUGAGAGGGUGAUCGGCCACAUUGGGACUGAGAGACGGCCCAGACUCCUACGGGAGGCAGCAGUAGGGAAUUUUGCGCAAUGGACGAAAGUCUGACGCAGCAACGCCGCGUGAGCGAUGAAGGUCUUCGGAUCGUAAAGCUCUGUUGAGUGGGAAGAAACGUCUCGGGGUUAAUAUCUCCGAGGCCUGACGGUACCACUCGAGGAAGCUCCGGCCAACUACGUGCCAGCAGCCGCGGUAAUACGUAGGGAGCGAGCGUUGUUCGGAAUCACUGGGCGUAAAGGGAGUGCAGGCGGAAAGGUAAGUCAGAAGUGUAAUCUACGGGCUUAACCCGUAUCUCGCUUUUGAUACUGCUUUUCUUGAGUAGUGGAGAGGGGAACGGAAUUCCAGGUGUAGCGGUGGACUGCGUAGAUAUCUGGAAGAACACCAGUAGCGAAGGCGGUUU